GAUUAACGCUGGCGGCAUGCCUAAUACAUGCAAGUCGAACGGAAGCAGCAAUGCUUUAGUGGCGAACGGGUGAGUAACACGUAGGGAACCUACCUAUACGACGAGGAUAACUACUGGAAACGGUAGCUAAAACUGGAUAGGAUCAAUUGAGGCAUCUUGAUUGAUUUAAAGAUCCUUCGGGAUUACGUAGAGAUGGCCCUGCGGCGCAUUAGCUAGUUGGUGAGGUAACGUCCCACCAAGGCGACGAUGCGUAGCUGAGCUGAGAGGCUAAACAGCCACACUGGGACUGAGACACGGCCCAGACUCCUACGGGAGGCAGCAGUAGGGAAUUUUCGGCAAUGGGGGAAACCCUGACCGAGCAAUGCCGCGUGAACGAUGAAGGUCUUCGGAUUGUAAAGUUCUGUGAUUGGGGAAGAAUGGUAUUCUUAGGGAAUGAGGAGUACAUGACGGUACCCGAUUAGAAAGCCCCGGCUAACUAUGUGCCAGCAGCCGCG
rnacentral:rRNA from 1 species